rnacentral:rRNA from 1 species
CGGAGACAACAGUUGGAAACGACUGCUAAGCCCCGAUGAACCGAAAGGGAAAAUAUUUAUAGCCUGAAGAUGAGCUCGCGUCCGAUUAGCUAGUUGGGGGGGUAAAAGCCCACCAAGGCGACGAUCGGUAGCUGGUCUGAGAGGACGAUCAGCCACACUGGGACUGAGACACGGACCAGACUCCUACGGGAGGCAGAAGUGGGGAAUUUUCCGCAAUGGGCGAAAGCCUGACGGAGCAAGACCGCGUGGGGGAAGAAGGCUCUUGGGUUGUAAACCCCUUUUCUCUGGGACGACAGUUGUGAAAGCAACCUGACGGUACCAGAGGAAUCAGCAUCGGCUAACUCCGUGCCAGCAGCCGCGGUAAGACGGAUGAUGCAAGCGUUAUCCGGAAUGAUUGGGCG